rnacentral:rRNA from 1 species
UACGGAGGGUGCAAGCGUUAUCCGGAAUCACUGGGUUUAAAGGGUGCGUAGGCUGUUAGAUAAGUCAGUUGUGAAAUUCCCCGGCUUAACCGGGCGAACUGCGAUUGAUACUGUUUAACUUGAAUGAGGUUGAGGUAGGCGGAAUGUGGCAUGUAGCGGUGAAAUGCUUAGAUAUGCCAUAGAACACCGAUUGCGAAGGCAGCUUGCUGGGCCUUCAUUGACGCUGAGGCACGAAAGCGUGGGGAGCAAACAGGAUUAGAUACCCUGGUAGUCCACGCCCUAAACGAUGUUUACUUGCUGUUUGCCCUUCGGGGUGAGUGGCGAAGCGAAAGCGCUAAGUAAACCACCUGGGGAGUACGCCGGCAACGGUGAA